GAGUUUGAUCAUGGCUCAGAUUGAACGCUGGCGGCAGGCCUAACACAUGCAAGUCGAGCGGUAGAGAGAAGCUUGCUUCUCUUGAGAGCGGCGGACGGGUGAGUAAUGCCUAGGAAUCUGCCUGGUAGUGGGGGAUAACGCUCGGAAACGGACGCUAAUACCGCAUACGUCCUACGGGAGAAAGCAGGGGACCUUCGGGCCUUGCGCUAUCAGAUGAGCCUAGGUCGGAUUAGCUAGUUGGUGAGGUAAUGGCUCACCAAGGCGACGAUCCGUAACUGGUCUGAGAGGAUGAUCAGUCACACUGGAACUGAGACACGGUCCGGACUCCUACGGGAGGCAGCAGUGGGGAAUAUUGGACAAUGGGCGAAAGCCUGAUCCAGCCAUGCCGCGUGUGUGAAGAAGGUCUUCGGAUUGUAAAGCACUUUAAGUUGGGAGGAAGGGCAGUAAAUUAAUAACUUUGCUGUUUUGACGUUACCGACAGAAUAAGCACCGGCUAACUCUGUGCCAGCCGCCG
rnacentral:rRNA from 1 species